rnacentral:rRNA from 1 species
UACGUAGGGUGCGAGCGUUGUCCGGAAUUAUUGGGCGUAAAGAGCUUGUAGGUGGUUUGACGCGUCUGCUGUGAAAAUCCGAGGCUCAACCUCGGACUUGCAGUGGGUACGGGCAGACUAGAGUGUGGUAGGGGAGACUGGAAUUCCUGGUGUAGCGGUGGAAUGCGCAGAUAUCAGGAGGAACACCGAUGGCGAAGGCAGGUCUCUGGGCCAUUACUGACACUGAGAAGCGAAAGCAUGGGGAGCGAACAGG